rnacentral:rRNA from 1 species
UUGAACGCUGGCGGCAGGCCUAGCACAUGCAAGUCGAGCGGAUGAAGGGAGCUUGCUCCUGGAUUCAGCGGCGGACGGGUGAGUAAUGCCUAGGAAUCUGCCUGGUAGUGGGGGAUAACGUCCGGAAACGGGCGCUAAUACCGCAUACGUCCUGAGGGAGAAAGUGGGGGAUCUUCGGACCUCACGCUAUCAGAUGAGCCUAGGUCGGAUUAGCUAGUUGGUGGGGUAAAGGCCUACCAAGGCGACGAUCCGUAACUGGUCUGAGAGGAUGAUCAGUCACACUGGAACUGAGACACGGUCCAGACUCCUACGGGAGGCAGCAGUGGGGAAUAUUGGACAAUGGGCGAAAGCCUGAUCCAGCCAUGCCGCGUGUGUGAAGAAGGUCUUCGGAUUGUAAAGCACUUUAAGUUGGGAGGAAGGGCAGUAAGUUAAUACCUUGCUGUUUUGACGUUACCAACAGAAUAAGCACCGGCUAACUUCGUG